rnacentral:ncRNA from 1 species
CACAGCACCACCAUUAGAAAGCGGAGUUAUAGUUUGCACUGACCCCUUACCAAAAGAUUUAGUUCCUAAGAUUAGCGCUCUACCAUGGUCUUUUAAUGCAGCAGCAACGAUUUCUGAAGCAGAAGCAGAGCCACCAUUUAUAAGAACAACUAUUGGAUAUUCAGGUUCUGUAUCCUUUUUAGUUGCAUAAAAUUUUUGUUUUUGAUUUUCCAUUCUACCAUCAGUGUAAACAAUUAUUCCCUCAUCUAAGAAUAAAUCUGCAACACUAACUGCUUGUUCUAAAAGUCCCCCUGGAUUGUUUCUUA